ACGACUCUUCUUGUUCGCCGGAGAACGGAGUUCAAAGAGAGGAGACUUUCUAGGGUCGGGAGAGUUGGUAUAAGUCGCGAAGAAACAAGAACGCUCGCAUGAGAAGAAGCCAGGAGGUAGAACGGUGGCGUUUUCAGACUUUCGUUUCUUGACACGCAAAGUGGAGCAACCCAUCUGAGACCUAAGGUCAGAGAUGUAAUGGUUGAGAUGAAAAGGUUCUUGGUCAUCUUCAAGAAGCUCAUGUAAGUGUUUCUUCUUCUCAGCAGCCAUGGAGACAAAACUACUACUCUAAAACUUUUGGGCGCUCUUUCUUAUAAGAAGAGAGAGAGGUUUGGUGAGGAGAGUGAAAGAUGAGGAACAGUUAUAGACAAAGGGUAAGACAUUGGAUAAAGAGUCAAUGCUUGGAUUUGGCUAUUUCCUAGCAUCUUGAAAAAUAAAAAUAAAAAUAAAAAUAAUAAAGUUUUGGUCUCUUUAUAUUCUUUUUUUCUUCAUAUUGAAAUGUAAUAUACAUGUGUCUUUGUGCAAAGGUAAUUUUGUUGGUUUGAAGAAAAUUUAGUUGACAUAUUAUUUUCAGAGGUGGGCCUUGAAAGGCUCCUGAAAAAAGUUGAGUUUACGUGUUAAAAUUCAAAUAGUCUAUUAAUCAAUUUUUUUUUUAUCAGCCAGAGAAAUUUGACAGAGCAUGCAGUAAGUAAUUUCAGUCACCUGGAUUGUAAAAUGCACUCGAGUAAUGUAAGCACAAUCAAUUUCUCAUCAUGUAAGGAUCAGAUUAUGGUCAUGAUUCAUGUACGGUCGGUCCACCUGUUGUAGGAAGAUGAAAACUGGGAUGCUGGUUUGCACUUAUUUUUUCCAUGUGGCUUGCUUGAAACUUGAAGUUCUUGGUAUCGAUAUGCGAGUCAGUCUAUAUCGUGUAUUUGUAAGUUUAUUGCUCUUUUAGAAGUAACACUUAGCUGACUGUGUAUUUGUUCUAGUAAAUACUAUACAAUUCCAAGAAAGAAAAUCACAAUCUGUAAUGGAUAAUUUUAUCUUUAAACACACACAAACACUUCUCGCAUGCUAAUUUUCAGAUGAUUUGAAAUGAAGACUGAAACUGAAAUGAAUAAUUUUUCUUCACUACAAAAAGUCUAUUUCUCUAUACGAGAUUUAUGACUAAAUUUUGAAAUAUAUGCGACAUGUCCUAAAGCAUUUUCAACCUCACUUCAUAUUUUAUUUUAAAAUAGAAAAGAAAAAUAAUAAUAAACAAAAAAAAAUAUUAUUUUAUAUAUAAAAUAAUAUUUUUAUUUUUUUUGUUCAUUUCUUCAUUUUUUACUCUGUUUUGUUAUAAAAUAUAGAGUGGCGUUGGAGAUACACUAGAAAAAACACUAAAUACGAACUAGAUGUUGAUAGUACACUAACAUUUUAUAUGCUAUUGAACUAUCCAACUUUAGCUUGAAACAAAUUUUUACAAGUUGAGUGUUCAACAUUUGUAUUGUUAAAAUAAACUGUGUUUAUUUAUUUAUAUACAUGGACUGACGUUAACUUGAUUUGAAAUCAAUAAGAUACGGUUUUAGUGAUAACAAUCUCAUUGGCACUUGACGUAAUUCCUAAUCUGAAUAUAUCUGAUUUAGUGAUAGAUAGUUCAAAAAGAAAGACACCCCAUGUUCCACAUUUCACGAUACCGGGCAUGGCACGAAAUCUAUCGUUGAUUAUUUAUAUUUGCAAGAAAUCUCAUAUAUUAGUGGUCGGAAAUUAACUUAUACUCAUCCGGAAAGUAGUAUCUGACGAUGCUGAAAUCAAGAAAAUAAAUCAUAUACAUAUAUUAUAGACCAAGACAAAUCAAUUUUAUCACAACUAUUAAAUAAUAAUUUUUUUAGCAAAAACAAAACUAUUACAUAAUUUAUAGAAUAUAAAUCGGAUAUUGAUGACAAAAAAAUAGGGCAUAUUCUAUUUCGUCUUCAUAUAAUUUUCGAGUAAUGAACAGGUUCAUAUCUUUGUCGUAAUAUAUCUAUGAUUAAGAUCAAUGUUUAUAUUAUCUUCACCCUAACAAAUACAAAACAAAAGUAGAAUAGUAAUUUAUUAAUUAAGGCGACUGUUGGUAACUACUAAUCCAACGACUAAUUUGUCCUACGUACUCAUAUAUUGUCCACACGUGAAAAUUUGCCAAUACAUAUACACAAAAUAAAAUGCAUAUCAUAUACACACCGAAUUAUUGUUUCUUGAAAAUUGAAAUUAUACAAUGAAAAAAAUAUUAGUACUUCUUGCUAUAAAAAAUGCAUUGGGCAGGACAAAUAAAGGUUCGCACCAUAAAUGAGAUGGAAAAGUUGUAGGCUUUACAGCUGGGACUCCCUUUAAUUAAAUUCUCAGCAUCUGUGGACUUUAGGUUUCUAUAAUUAUUUAGUAUACAGGUGAUAAUUUCACUAUGGUUCGACCUGUAAUUUCAUGUGGCACUACAGUUUAGUUUUCGCUUGAAUACUGAAAAUUGAUUUAAAGAGAAGUUGUGGAUCAAAUGUUUUAUAAUUGGUUUUACUGUUCAUCCACUCAUACCUAUUUCUAAUAAGUGUCAAAUCUGUGUGUUUAUUAAUAAGUAAGAUUAUUUUAUUAUUUUUGUUGUCUCAAUAUGAAUGAUUUUUAUCAUAAAAAGCGAAGUCCACUAAUUAUCACAACGUAUAUAAAAACAAUUAAUUGCAAUUGGUACUAAUAUACUGUAUUAAGGAGAGCACAUUGUAGGGACACUGUUUGUUCUCGGAUGCCACCAUGUCUAGAGAUUUAAAUACUAACCUAAUCAACUUGAAAUAUACAAAACGAACGAGAAAUACAAAGCUGUGGUAUUAGGUAAAGUUACAGCUGAUUAUUCUGUUUAAUUAUUUGUUAGUAAGCCAAAUCUACGACGCUUUUAUCACCUGAGCAUGCAGCAGACAAAAAGGUUUUGCUGAACGCGUGGAACGUAAAACGACACCGUAUGUCGAUUUUGUCUUUUAACUAAUUUUAUUAUUAUGACAAAACUUUGUAUCGCCCAAUAAAUUAAAUAUAUUUCCUCAGUCGUACCAUGAAAUGUCAAUUUAUGAAUAUACCGACGGAUUUGAUUUAUAUAAGUACUUAUUUAAAUAUUACAACAAAAAAAAUCUGUAUAUAAUAAUUGAAAUUUGAAAACCGUAUAUACGUAAGUUCACUGCACGUUUACUAUACACUACAUUAUUUAUUCAUGUUAUGCAGCAAAAAUUGCAAACAAAACCCAACGUAAAUCACUUUGUGUGGCUUAGUAAAGCCCUCAGCUAAUUAUUAUUAUAUUGGUAUUUACUCGUUAAUAUUUAAUUCUAAUGUAUAACAUUGUAAAUAGACUUUUAAAAGUAAACAACAUGAAAAGGUAAAAAAAAAUCCCUGGCCGUCUUCUCGUAGAAAAUGUUCUUUUCGUCUCGGAGCUUGUCCAAGGUUAUAAUUGGAAAAAUAUCUUUAGGCGAUCCAUCCUCAAAACUGAUCUGAAAAAGACAUUCGACUCUUUUUAGGUUCCCGGAAAAUUUUGUCAGCCUUAUUGAGCAAUGUAUAACAACGACAAGGUUUUCAGUUUCCGUAAACGUGGAAUUUGAAGGAUACUUCAGAGGGUCUAUGGGCCUUCGCCAAAAUGACCCUCUUUCGCCAUAUCUCUUUGUCCUAACCAUGGAGGUUCUUGGACAAAUGCUUAACACUGAGUUUAUAGCAGGCAUCAUUGAAUACCAUCCUUCAGCAUCUGAUCCCGCUAUAACUCACCUUGCCUUUGCGGAUGACGUUAUGAUAUUUUGUUUACGGAGAGCAAGGUUCAUUACGACAGAUAACAGCGACGCUGGACAGAUUAUCCUCCUGGUCAGGUUUGGUGAUGAACAAAUCUAAAACCAAACUCUUCACUGCAUGGGAUGAGCCAUGUAGAAGCUACAGACCUGGCAAGUCUUGGCUUCUCACUCGGCUCGCUUCAUGUCAGGUACUUGGGUCUCCAUUUGAUGCACCGGAAGCUUUGUGUCUCGGAAUACAUACCUCUUAUAGAUCAGCUCAAGAACAUGUUCACCUUGUGGUCCUCUCGGGCUCUCCUCUAUGCUGGAUACAUGCAAUUACUCUCUUCUGUCAUCUUCAGUACCGUAAACUUUUGGUUCUCAAGUUUAUCUUACCCAAAGGUUGUAUCUGGGCAAUUGAAUCUUUAUGUGCAAAAUUUUUUUGGAAUGGUAAAAUUACAUCCAGAGCUGCUGUGAAAGUUUCAUGGACUACAAUCUGUUUACCAAAAUCAAAAGGUGGAUUAGGGCUCCGUGACUUCUCAACAUGAAACAAGUCUCUUUGUCUGAAGUUAAUAUUGCUUUUGCACUGUGAAUCUGAAUCUUUGUGGCCUAAAAAGAUUUCACUUUUUUGACAAAACCUUGAUACCGACAUUUUCUAAGUCUACCACAAGAUUUGGUUUACAUUAAAUUUAAGACUUUGACCUACUGAAUUAAAAGGUAGAAAAUGUCUUUUGGUUUGAAAUCUUUGAAAUUGAAUAUCUAGUGAGAUGCAAUAAUCGGCAUAGUGGGGAAAUGUAAAUGACAUUAACACCCUCACCAAACCGAGGCACUACGACAUAUGUUCAGUCUAGGGUAGGGGCAUAUCCGUCAUUCUACACUAAAAACAUAUUUAACCGUACUCCUGAAGAACUUACAUAAUUCAGUCAAUAUCAGACGGGCAAUUUUCAGCCGGUCAUGUGUCACUGCUCUAAUCAGAUGUUUUUCCAUAGAAUGUUUUUUACUAUCUUUUUUACUGUAUGAUAAUUUAUGGCUAGUAUGAAUUAUUUGGCAGUGGAUUUAUUUAGUCAUUACUGAAAAUAUAUAAAAGUUCAAAAAUGAAAUUGCUAAAUAUAUUUUGUUUUUGGAACACUUUUUACUAAUAUUUCUAAAAUAAGGAAAUAAGCAAUUUUGUGUGGAAAAUGCAUUAAAUUUGAAAUGUUGUGGUUUAUGAUUUUAGAUUAAUAAUCUAGCUUUGUAUAGUUUAGAUUUAUUGUUUGGUUUAGGAGUAUUUUACUAAUCUGAUAUAAAACUUAAGACUAUUUUUCAUAAUUAUUUUAUUAAUUCUAAGCAUUUGCUGGAUAAUAAUUAAAUAUUAUUAACAGAUAAUUAUAUUUAAAUAGAUAAUUAUUAUAAACAUUUGCACCAAUAAAAAAUAAUUAAAGAACAAACCUCUGUACUGCGUCUCGCCGGAGAAGUAGCCGUCGACGUGAAGUGGGGAGUCCGGUUACCGGAAGUAGAAGGAGUUGUAUGGAGGACGAAAUGAAAAGGGCUCUCACAAAAGCACUUAUCAUCAACCUCCACCAAACGCUCUCGCCGGCUGCUACUACUCGUUGGCUCCGACCCGCGUUCAGACAAAACCGCGUUUCCAUCAGCGCUAUGCAGACACGGUUUGGCUUUACGGUUAGUUAACCGCUUCAAAACAGACCCGAACAUACCAAACGUGUUUCCUCUGUUCCGAGCUCUGUUGUUUGUAUUAUCAGCCUUCUCGACCUGCUGCUUCUGAAUCCUGGCCGCCGCUUCCAGCAGAAUUGCGGCGGUUCUUGUCGGUAUCUGAAGGAAAACUCGACCGUCACGACUCUUCUUGUUCGCCGGAGAACGGAGUUCAAAGAGAGGAGACUUUCUAGGGUCGGGAGAGUUGGUAUAAGUCGCGAAGAAACAAGAACGCUCGCAUGAGAAGAAGCCAGGAGGUAGAACGGUGGCGUUUUCAGACUUUCGUUUCUUGACACGCAAAGUGGAGCAACCCAUCUGAGACCUAAGGUCAGAGAUGUAAUGGUUGAGAUGAAAAGGUUCUUGGUCAUCUUCAAGAAGCUCAUGUAAGUGUUUCUUCUUCUCAGCAGCCAUGGAGACAAAACUACUACUCUAAAACUUUUGGGCGCUCUUUCUUAUAAG
rnacentral:lncRNA from 1 species